rnacentral:lncRNA from 1 species
UUUUGAGUGAUGGCAAUUCAAGAAGCAAACAAAAAAGACAAACUUCGUCUUUUUGAAAACUAAGAAAUUUCUGUGAACAGAGAAAAAAAAAGCAUCGAUUCAAUAACGAGCACAUCCAUUUAAAACCAUGCUUAACCAACAUAAAGUCACGUAGAAGAUUGAGUCCUAUUUAUUUACCUUACGAAGAAGUUUGAAGGAGUACUUCAUGGUGGGAUGCCCGGAAGUUCUGGAAGAACCCUUGAAAGAAGAGUUUUCAAGGGCUCUAGGGAGACUACGAAUGAGGCACAAGAGAAUGUAGGCUGCGGUAAUCCACGUAUAUAAAUAGUGAACCAAAUCUUAGGCUUGUGCUGUAAUAGAAUAUUUACACAAUCUAAUUAUGGUUAAUUUCUAUAUAUCUGUAUCUCAACUUUGCUAAUGAAUUAAUUUCACGGAAAAGAAACUGGGGCAACAAUCAUUUCUGCAAAUAGCUAUUUAACAGCAAUGAAAGUAAGAAAGGCAACAUAAAUCAAUCUCCAAGGGAAAGAGAGAGAA